ACACAUGCAAGUCGAACGAACUCUUCGGAGUUAGUGGCGGACGGGUGAGUAACACGUGGGAACGUGCCUUUAGGUUCGGAAUAACUCAGGGAAACUUGUGCUAAUACCGAAUGUGCCCUUCGGGGGAAAGAUUUAUCGCCUUUAGAGCGGCCCGCGUCUGAUUAGCUAGUUGGUGAGGUAAAGGCUCACCAAGGCGACGAUCAGUAGCUGGUCUGAGAGGAUGAUCAGCCACAUUGGGACUGAGACACGGCCCAAACUCCUACGGGAGGCAGCAGUGGGGAAUCUUGCGCAAUGGGCGAAAGCCUGACGCAGCCAUGCCGCGUGAAUGAUGAAGGUCUUAGGAUUGUAAAAUUCUUUCACCGGGGACGAUAAUGACGGUACCCGGAGAAGAAGCCCCGGCUAACUUCGUGCCAGCAGCCGCGGUAAUACGAAGGGGGCUAGCGUUGCUCGGAAUUACUGGGCGUAAAGGGAGCGUAGGCGGACAUUUAAGUCAGGGGUGAAAUCCCGGGGCUCAACCUCGGAAUUGCCUUUGAUACUGGGUGUCUUGAGUAUGAGAGAGGUGUGUGGAACUCCGAGUGUAGAGGUGAAAUUCGUAGAUAUUCGGAAGAACACCAGUGGCGAAGGCGACACACUGGCUCAUUACUGACGCUGAGGCUCGAAAGCGUGGGGAGCAAACAGGAUUAGAUACCCUGGUAGUCCACGCCGU
rnacentral:rRNA from 1 species